CGUGGUUAGCGACUGAUGAAAAUGAAAGACUUGUGCGUAGUGCUACCGAUGCAGGCGGUAUCAACUACAUCAGCGAUCAGACCUUGACGGACACCGACUGCUUCGCCGCAGCGGCAAGCGCAUCUGUCUGACGCUGCANUCAACGAGAUUGUACUGCGAUGAAGCACUGGUCGACGUGCCGGCAGCCGCAGGCUGGCUGAUCGUGAUCUUCGAUCCGUCGCCAUAUGUCAGCGUGGUGGUGAUCGAACCGUCACUGUUCGUUGUCGAGGUGCUCGAAGCGCCUUGCAGCGCCUGCAUCAGCGCAUCAGCGCCGCCACCGGCGCGGUGUGCAUGGGGGUGGCCGCCCUUAGGCUUCAACGCCGACGCCAUCUCGUCGAGACUAACGGAGCCGUCACUGUCGGCAUCCAUCUUGUCAAAAACAUUGUCGGCGG
rnacentral:misc_RNA from 1 species